rfam:Ictidomys tridecemlineatus contig007571, whole genome shotgun sequence.
GGGGAUAUGGUUUGGUUGGUAGAGUUUUUGCCUUUCAUGCACAAGGCCCUGGGUUCAAUCCCCAGCAUCAUUG